CGCCCCGCCCCUGCCGCCCAGGGACUUUGAGACUGGGUCGGGGCAGCGGGAGGCGGGAUUUUCGGGAGCGCAGGGAACGCUGGGAGCCGGGCGGUGACUGUCCCGAGCGUGCGAAAGCCGCCGACUCCGGAGAAAUCCCCCUCCUCCAGGGUGAAGAAGAAGGUGUCCAGAAUGACUUUCAAGUUUCCAGCAACUGGAUGGAGAGUGGUACGAUAGAAUGAGAUAGGGAACAUUGGAAGAAGUUCGGUGUAGAAAGAGGAAGAUCAAGAGUUUGGCAUAGACUUCCCUGUUGCAGAAACAGAGCCUGGCCCAGCAAAAUUGUGUCAUGUGGGAGAGAGGACUGGGUGCCUGCUGCAGGGGGCACAGAUCCAGACAGAGAAGAGGAGAGGCACCAAGCUGUGUGUGAGCCACUCCUCCUGGGGCAAGGACUGAGUGUUUCAGCAGGAAACACAUGGUAUACUCAAAGAGGACUCAGCCACAUUUCUUCUCGUGAGCAGCCCUUGCGAUGGUGUGCUGAUGAGUGGGCGCCCUGUGGGGGACAAAAAGAGAGAGCGAGAGAGACCCCGAUUUAUAGCAUUUGCCAAUUUCCUUGGUAGAGAGAGCACAAGCAGGCGGAGUGGGAGGGGGACAAGCAGACUCCCCGCUGAAC